UACGUAGGGUGCAAGCGUUGUCCGGAAUUAUUGGGCGUAAAGAGCUCGUAGGCGGUUUGUCGCGUCGGCUGUGAAAACCUGGGGCUUAACUCCGGGCCUGCAGCCGAUACGGGCAGACUAGAGUUCGGCAGGGGAGACUGGAAUUCCUGGUGUAGCGGUGAAAUGCGCAGAUAUCAGGAGGAACACCGAUGGCGAAGGCAGGUCUCUGGGCAUUAACUGACGCUGAGGAGCGAAAGCAUGGGGAGCGAACAGG
rnacentral:rRNA from 1 species